CCUACGAGCGGCAGCAGUGGGGAAUAUUGGACAAUGGGGGGAACCCUGAUCCAGCCAUGCCGCGUGUGUGAAGAAGGCCCUCGGGUUGUAAAGCACUUUCAGUGAGGAAGAACGCCUGGUGGUUAAUACCCAUCAGGAAAGACAUCACUCACAGAAGAAGCACCGGCUAACUCCGUGCCAGCAGCCGCGGUAAUACGGAGGGUGCGAGCGUUAAUCGGAAUUACUGGGCGUAAAGCGCGCGUAGGUGGCUUGAUAAGCCGGUUGUGAAAGCCCCGGGCUCAACCUGGGAACGGCAUCCGGAACUGUCAAGCUAGAGUGCAGGAGAGGAAGGUAGAAUUCCCGGUGUAGCGGUGAAAUGCGUAGAGAUCGGGAGGAAUACCAGUGGCGAAGGCGGCCUUCUGGACUGACACUGACACUGAGGUGCGAAAGCGUGGGUAGCAAACAGGAUUAGAUACCCCUGUAGUC
rnacentral:rRNA from 1 species